rnacentral:rRNA from 1 species
GAUGAACGCUGGCGGCGUGCCUAAUACAUGCAAGUCGAGCGAACGGACGAGAAGCUUGCUUCUCUGAUGUUAGCGGCGGACGGGUGAGUAACACGUGGAUAACCUACCUAUAAGACUGGGAUAACUUCGGGAAACCGGAGCUAAUACCGGAUAAUAUUUUGAACCGCAUGGUUCAAAAGUGAAAGACGGUCUUGCUGUCACUUAUAGAUGGAUCCGCGCUGCAUUAGCUAGUUGGUAAGGUAACGGCUUACCAAGGCAACGAUGCAUAGCCGACCUGAGAGGGUGAUCGGCCACACUGGAACUGAGACACGGUCCAGACUCCUACGGGAGGCAGCAGUAGGGAAUCUUCCGCAAUGGGCGAAAGCCUGACGGAGCAACGCCGCGUGAGUGAUGAAGGUCUUCGGAUCGUAAAACUCUGUUAUUAGGGAAGAACAUAUGUGUAAGUAACUGUGCACAUCUUGACGGUACCUAAUCAGAAAGCCACGGCUAACUACGUGCCAGCAGCCGCGGUAAUACGUAGGUGGCAAGCGUUAUCCGGAAUUAUUGGGCGUAAAGCGCGCGUAGGCGGUUUUUUAAGUCUGAUGUGAAAGCCCACGGCUCAACCGUGGAGGGUCAUUGGAAACUGGAAAACUUGAGUGCAGAAGAGGAAAGUGGAAUUCCAUGUGUAGCGGUGAAAUGCGCAGAGAUAUGGAGGAACACCAGUGGCGAAGGCGACUUUCUGGUCUGUAACUGACGCUGAUGUGCGAAAGCGUGGGGAUCAAACAGGAUUAGAUACCCUGGUAGUCCACGCCGUAAACGAUGAGUGCUAAGUGUUAGGGGGUUUCCGCCCCUUAGUGCUGCAGUUAACGCAUUAAGCACUCCGCCUGGGGAGUACGACCGCAAGGUUGAAACUCAAAGGAAUUGACGGGGACCCGCACAAGCGGUGGAGCAUGUGGUUUAAUUCGAAGCAACGCGAAGAACCUUACCAAAUCUUGACAUCCUUUGACAACUCUAGAGAUAGAGCCUUCCCCUUCGGGGGACAAAGUGACAGGUGGUGCAUGGUUGUCGUCAGCUCGUGUCGUGAGAUGUUGGGUUAAGUCCCGCAACGAGCGCAACCCUUAAGCUUAGUUGCCAUCAUUAAGUUGGGCACUCUAAGUUGACUGCCGGUGACAAACCGGAGGAAGGUGGGGAUGACGUCAAAUCAUCAUGCCCCUUAUGAUUUGGGCUACACACGUGCUACAAUGGACAAUACAAAGGGCAGCGAAACCGCGAGGUCAAGCAAAUCCCAUAAAGUUGUUCUCAGUUCGGAUUGUAGUCUGCAACUCGACUACAUGAAGCUGGAAUCGCUAGUAAUCGUAGAUCAGCAUGCUACGGUGAAUACGUUCCCGGGUCU